rnacentral:rRNA from 1 species
AUCGAACGCUGGCGGCAGGCCUAAUACAUGCAAGUCGAGCGCAACGGCGGACGGGCGAGUAAGGACUAGGAAGCUGCCUGGUAGUGGGGGCUAACGUAAGGCAACGGGAGCCAAUAAAGCAUACGAUCAUAUGAGCUUAGGUCUGAUUAGCUAGUUGGUGGGGUAGAGGCCUACCAAGUCGACGAACCGUAACUGGUCUGAGAGGAUGAUCAGUCACACUGGAACUGGGACACGGUCCAGACUCCUACGGAAGGCAGCAGUGGGGAAUAUUGGACAAUGGGCGAAAGCCGGAUCCAGCCAUGCCGCGUGUGUGAAGAAGGUCUUCGGAUUGUAAAACACUUUAAGUUGGGAGGCGUUACCAACAGAAUAAGCACCGGCUAACUUCGUGCCAGCAGCCGCGGUAAUAC